rnacentral:rRNA from 1 species
UACGGGGGGGGGCAAGCGUUGUUCGGAAUUACUGGGCGUAAAGGGCGCGUAGGCGGCCUGCUAAGUCGGACGUGAAAUCCCUCGGCUCAACCGGGGAACUGCGUCCGAUACUGGCGAGGCUUGAAUCCGGGAGAGGGAUGUGGAAUUCCAGGUGUAGCGGUGAAAUGCGUAGAUAUCUGGAGGAACACCGGUGGCGAAGGCGGCAUCCUGGACCAAUACUGACGCUGAGGAGCGAAAGCCAGGGGAGCAAACGGG